rnacentral:rRNA from 1 species
AGUGAGCGCUGGCGGUAGGCCUAACACAUGCAAGUCGAACGGCAGCACAGUAAGAGCUUGCUCUUACGGGUGGCGAGUGGCGGACGGGUGAGGAAUACUUCGGAAUCUACUUUUUCGUGGGGGAUAACGUAGGGAAACUUACGCUAAUACCGCAUACGACCUACGGGUGAAAGCAGGGGAUCUUCGGACCUUGCGCGAUUGAAUGAGCCGAUGUCGGAUUAGCUAGUUGGCGGGGUAAAGGCCCACCAAGGCGACGAUCCGUAGCUGGUCUGAGAGGAUGAUCAGCCACACUGGAACUGAGACACGGUCCAGACUCCUACGGGAGGCAGCAGUGGGGAAUAUUGGACAAUGGGCGCAAGCCUGAUCCAGCCAUACCGCGUGGGUGAAGAAGGCCUUCGGGUUGUAAAGCCCUUUUGUUGGGAAAGAAAAGCAGCAGGUUAAUACCCCGCUGUUCUGACGGUACCCAAAGAAUAAGCACCGGCUAACUUCGUG